AUCUAGCUGACGAGUUCCAAAUACGACGAAAGGCGCGUCCUGAAU
rnacentral:hammerhead_ribozyme from 1 species